GACAUAGGGUGCAAGCGUUGUCCGGAAUCACUGGGCGUAAAGGGCGCGUAGGUGGCUCUCCAAGUCCGUGGUGAAAGCUCGAUGCUUAACAUCGAGUCGGCCACGGAAACUGGGGGGCUGGAGCACUGUAGGGGCAGAUGGAAUUCCGGGUGUAGCGGUGGAAUGCGUAGAGAUCCGGAAGAACACCGGUGGCGAAGGCGGUCUGCUGGGCAGUUGCUGACACUGAGGCGCGACAGCGUGGGGAGCAAACAGG
rnacentral:rRNA from 1 species